rnacentral:misc_RNA from 1 species
AAAAGCGGGAGCAGGAACGACAAAGGCAGGAAAAGCUUGCAGAAACUAGUAGGAUAAGCCGUCAUAGACAUCGCAGUCAUAGUAGAAGCCGCAGCAGAAGCAGAAGUAGAAGCCGUUCUCCUCCAAGAAGGCACAGGAGAAGCAGAAGUCGGAGUAGGAGUCCUCGCAGAUAUAGUUCGCGAUCUCGUACCCGGUCACACUCUCGAUCACACUCCCCAAGGUAUAGGAGUCGCUCCAGAUAUUAGGUUUUGAGAAGCAUAUGGCUGCAGUGGCAAGGUUUUGUUUGUGAGUUUGA